UACGUAGGGUGCAAGCGUUGUCCGGAAUUAUUGGGCGUAAAGGGCGCGUAGGCGGCGUGUCAAGUCAGGCGUGAAAGCCCCGGGCUCAACCUGGGAACCGCGCUUGAGACUGGCAUGCUCGAGUUCGGGAGAGGAUGGCGGAAUUCCCAGUGUAGAGGUGAAAUUCGUAGAUAUUGGGAAGAACACCGAUGGCGAAGGCAGCCAUCUGGACCGACACUGACGCUGAGGCGCGAAAGCGUGGGGAGCAAACAGG
rnacentral:rRNA from 1 species